rnacentral:lncRNA from 1 species
GGCAUAUAACUUUGUAUUUUUGUAUAAAGAGUCCAAAAAUAUUCUGGACCAUGUUUCGCAGCAAGAUAUAGACAUAGUGCAUGCAUCUACAUGGUAACGGAGGAUAGAAAUCUAAAUUUGAUUAAAUGUAAUAAAAAGUAGAGCAUUUAAUUUAAUAAAAUGAAGUCAUCAAAGUUGGUAUAUUGGAGUAUCCUCUUGCGUAAAAAAAUAUUGCAUAAUUUAUCAAUACCAAUAGAAAUUUGGAUCAGUCUCCUUUGACCAUGAUCGGCGGAACUGUCCCAAACGGGACGAUUUGGAGCGUACCAAGCCGUACAGAAAGCUAUACAUCAAGGUUCGCAGUCUCGGUAAUGGAUUCUAUACCGGUGCCACACUAGCAUAGUAUCGGUACAGUACGGUAUAGAAUUUUUUUUGCGUACUGAGUGUCAGUACAUCAUCCGUACUGGGUACCGAUACCAAACUGGUACAAUGCGAUAUGUCCCAUACCACCGGUUCAGACCGGUAUGGCGUACCUUGGCCAACGUUGUAAAUAUUAUGCAUUAUAGUGGAUGCAACAUCUUGGGUGCUCAGCAUAGCAUUCUGUUUUAGACACAUGUUUUACCAUCAAG